rnacentral:snRNA from 1 species
AUCGCUUCUCAGCCUUUUGGCUAAGAUCAAGUGUAGUACCU